rnacentral:rRNA from 1 species
UAGGGAAUCUUCGGCAAUGGACGAAAGUCUGACCGAGCAACGCCGCGUGAGUGAAGAAGGUUUUCGGAUCGUAAAACUCUGUUGUUAGAGAAGAACAAGGACGUUAGUAACUGAACGUCCCCUGACGGUAUCUAACCAGAAAGCCACGGCUAACUACGUGCCAGCAGCCGCGGUAAUACGUAGGUGGCAAGCGUUGUCCGGAUUUAUUGGGCGUAAAGCGAGCGCAGGCGGUUUCUUAAGUCUGAUGUGAAAGCCCCCGGCUCAACCGGGGAGGGUCAUUGGAAACGGGGAGACUUGAGGGCAGAAGAGGAGAGUGGAAUUCCAUGUGUAGCGGUGAAAUGCGUAGAUAUAUGGAGGAACACCAGUGGCGAAGGCGGCUCUCUGGUCUGUAACUGACGCUGAGGCUCGAAAGCGUGGGGAGCAAACAGG